GACGAACGCUGGCGGCGUGCCUAAUACAUGCAAGUCGAACGAACCGCGACUAGGUGCUUGCACUUGGUCAAGGUGAGUGGCGAACGGGUGAGUAACACGUGGGUAACCUACCUCAUAGUGGGGGAUAACAGUCGGAAACGACUGCGAAUACCGCAUAGGACAUAGUAUCACAUGAUCCAGUGAGUAAAGGUGGCGCAAGCUAUCGCUAAGAGAUAGACCCGCAGUGCAUGAGCUAGUUGGUAGGGGAAAGGCCUACCAAGGCGAUGAUGCAUAGCCGACCUCAGAGGGUCAACGGCCACCUUGGGACUGAGACACGGCCGCCACACCUACGGGAGGAAGCAGUAGGGAAUCUUACGCAAUGGAGGCAAGUCUGACGUAGCACCGCCGCGUGAGUGAAGAAGGUCUUAGGCUCGUAAAGUUAUGUUGUUAGAGAAGAACAGCGCAUAGAGUAACUGUUAUGCGUGUGACGGUAUCUAACCAGAAAGCCACGGCUAACUACGUG
rnacentral:rRNA from 1 species